AGUGAACGCUGGCGGCGUGCCUAAUACAUGCAAGUCGAACGGAGUGGCGCACGGGUGGGUAAUGUCUAGCUAAUCUGCCCUGCACCAGAGGCCAACAGUUGGAAACGGCUGCUAAUACUCUAUAGGGUAGGCUGAGGCUAUAUUGUAUCAGCUAGUUGUUGAGGUAAUGGCUCACCAAGGCUAUGACGCCUCACUGGUCUGCGAGGAUGAUCAGUCACCCGGUAAGUGAGGCACCGUCCGGACUCCUUCGGCAGGGAGCGAUAGUGAAUCUGGGCCAAGGCGCGUGACCCUUAAGGGUUUACGCCGCGUGGAGCACUACACUUUUCGGAGCGUAAACUCCUUAUGUUCGGGAAGCGGUACCUAACGAAUAAGCACCGGCUAACUCCGUGCCAGCAGCCGCGGUAAUAC
rnacentral:rRNA from 1 species